AAAUUGAAGAGUUUGAUCAUGGCUCAGAUUGAACGCUGGCGGCAGGCCUAACACAUGCAAGUCGAGCGGUAGCACAGAGAGCUUGCUCUCGGGUGACGAGCGGCGGACGGGUGAGUAAUGUCUGGGAAACUGCCUGAUGGAGGGGGAUAACUACUGGAAACGGUAGCUAAUACCGCAUAACGUCGCAAGACCAAAGUGGGGGACCUUCGGGCCUCAUGCCAUCAGAUGUGCCCAGAUGGGAUUAGCUAGUAGGUGGGGUAACGGCUCACCUAGGCGACGAUCCCUAGCUGGUCUGAGAGGAUGACCAGCCACACUGG
rnacentral:rRNA from 1 species